UUUUUUUUUUUUUUUUUUUUUUUUUUUUUUUUUUUUUUUUUUUUUUUUUUUUCACUAGAUAGUUUUUUUUUUUUUUUUUUUUUUUUUUUUUUUUUUUUUUGUUUUGUUUUGUUUUGU